GCAUUGCUGACGAGUUUCACACAGGACAAAACAGUUGUCCAAUGC
rnacentral:hammerhead_ribozyme from 1 species